UUUCCAAUUGCAUUCUCCCCCAUUUCUCAUCAGUAAAAACUACUUGCGAUUCCCGUCGAUUUCCCUAAAAUCCUAAUUCCCAGUUACGAUUAUUCAACCUCAUAGUUGACAGUCCCAAUCCUGCUGCAAUAUCCCCUUAUACUUUUGAAUUAUCAAUUCAGGACGACGAGACUUGCCAAGAGAUGAAACCCAUAUCCCAAAACCACAUGUUUAUACAGCGGUUUCCUUGGCAAAAGAAGAGUUGACUGAGAGAGAAAGCCUUUGAAGAAGAUUCUGCAUGAUGAAUUAUAUAAUAUAAAAUCUGUAUCUUCUCUGGAUCUUGAACCCCAUGGAAGAUUAUAUAAUCGUUCCCUUCUUUUUUUUCUACUGUUGUUCUCUCAAAUCCUGGGUAAAGUCGUUUCUUUGUUUCUGUGUGAACCUUUACUUCGAGUACAGGCAUUGACUUACAGUCUUCUUUUCGCAUAAACGCAGUAGUGCGUACGUGUUGGUAAUUUUUAAUGUAAAAAAAGUAAAAUACUAAUAUUCCAGGGGAAAUUCCAUGUGGG
rnacentral:misc_RNA from 1 species